ensembl:miRNA
CAGCCACUGCAGAGGGUAUACUGGCACCUUAAAGGCCACAGUACACCCACUGUAAUGGUCGCU